rnacentral:rRNA from 1 species
GACGAACGCUGGCGGCGUGCUUAACACAUGCAAGUCGAACGAGAACCGCUUUUUAGUUCACUAAGAAGCGGGGAAAGUGGCGAACGGGUGAGUAACGCGUAGGCAACCAACCUUGCACCGGGGGAUAGCCCCGGGAAACUGGGAGUAAUACCGCAUAAGACCACGGCUGCGCAUGGAGCUGAGGUAAAAAUCACGGUGGUGCAAGACGGGCCUGCGUCCCAUUAGCUAGUUGGUGAGAUAACAGCCCACCAAGGCGACGAUGGGUAGCCGACCUGAGAGGGUGAUCGGCCACAUUGGGACUGAGACACGGCCCAGACUCCUACGGGAGGCAGCAGUGGGGAAUAUUGCGCAAUGGGGGAAACCCUGACGCAGCAACGCCGCGUGAGUGAAGAAGGUUUUCGGAUCGUAAAGCUCUGUCUUUGGGGAAGAAAAAUGACGGUACCCAAGGAGGAAGCCCCGGCUAACUACGUG